AAGUUAAACGAAUAGUUGAAAAUGUCUAUGAAUAUUCAUUUAAAUUCAAAAAUUAACUCCAAAUUGAUCAUGUCUAUGACUUUGUGAAUUUGCUUUCUACGAGCAUACAUGCACUUGAAAUUACCUUUCAUGAAUAUUUGCAAAAGCAAAUUUUCAAUUAGAUAUUUCAUAUACUUGCAGAAAAUAAUUUUUCAGUGAUAUAUUUAAUUGUGAGAUUUGGAUUUUACAUCAUGCUGCCUGAUAUUUGUGAUCUGUUCUGUGGGACUGCAUAUUUGAAGGCCUCCAGAAAGGUUUUAGCUGGAUGGAACACUUUGGAAAACCUUUACCUAGUGAAUUAUGGGAUUCAUCAAGAAGCAGAAAAAAAUGAGAAUAUACAAGAAAAUCAGAAACUGUGAAAAUUUCCAUUUGAGAAUUUUAUAAAACAUAUAUGGAACAUUGUACUUCAGCAUGAAGUGAAUCUUAGAGGCCAAUUUCUCCUCGUGUGUGUUGUCAGGUCAUGAUCACGGCCAAGUUCAGUGACUAUGUCCAAGCAGAAUAACUUUAAGGCAGUGGUUUUGAUUUUUAACCAUUGAAGGUAAGAAUCAUGAUUGCAAUGGCUGAUAGUUUGGGGUAGCUUAGAAAAAGUGGUAUGACUGUCAUUGGAGCUCCAACAUGGGAUGUGUGGUUUCAAUUAGAAGCUCACUUCACAAAAGAAGUCCUAGAUCUAAUAAGAUGCUUGUAUAGAACUUUUCUCAUGGUGCAUCCAAGUCAAACAUUAUCUAGAGCCUGCUGACUUGCAGGAAGAACUGAAGCUGAAAAUAAUAUUCUUACUAAGGCACACCAGAGAAGUGACAGUUUGGCAAGUCUUCCAUAUCAGGAGGAGAAACCAACACCAGCAAGUGAGAUGAGAGGACCUGCUUGGCACAGGUAUUUUUGUGUUCCUAGAAACAAGGAGAAGCAGGAAGGAUGCUGGACCCCUCCAUGGAUGCAGUAGGGCCAGUUCUGGCUGGAGCUGUGAUGUGUGGGGAGGCUCAGAGGAGAAGCUGCUGGCAGCCUGCAGAGGCGACCACGGGACCCCAUGGCCAGCCCAGGAAGAUCUCUAUUAUUUUGAAGAAAUCUACAUUUGUCCUGUUGACAGUGUAGGGAGAAGUUAUUCCUCACUGUAGUGCCAUCAGAGGAUACCCUCAGCAGGAUUACGUUAUAUGAAUGAGUUUGAUAGGAGUCACCAUGGUGAGGAAAGGAUAAUGGAAUUUCAGAUGGUGGAAAUUUUGAGGCUCCUCCCCAUCUAUGGGAUUUUAGUCCCAUCAGGGUUUGGGAAGUUUGGUCCUGGGCUGUGGUGUGUUGAGAAGACAACAAAUGUACUCUGUCAGGAAGAAGAGGGAACAGUGGUCAGAUGAAAAAUUGAAAAAUGUUGAAAAAUGUUUCUUCUGCUACUGGAAAGCUUCAGCACCUUUCCCUUCAACAGCAUCAGCUUGUAGGUCUGUGCUGGACUGCAUUAAUUAAAUGUAGGCUCUUUGAUGUUGUUGUAUAUACCAACAGUUCUUUCUGUGUCAAUUUAUUGUGGCAAUGAAGAGUGGGAAACUGCUAAUUUAUAUCACACCAGCAAAGUGCAUAACUGUUGUGUUCCUUGAAGUAUGAAUGUUUGCAGACAUCUGUAAACCUUCGCAUGGGACUGACAACUUCAGGAUAAUACCUUUGGAUUAUUACCUUUGGAAUUGGGUGAUGAAGAAUAUGGAUGAUGGUGAAGUGCCACGUUUUUUUACCUUUAUUGUCUUAUUCCUUCAACCCUCCUGGUGGUGUAGAGCUGGCUGAGUCUGCUCCUGGAGGAGGGCGGAGACAGUGGCAUUGUGCCUGUGACCCCUCCGUGCCUUUUCCUGUCUCUGUGACCCCUCAGUGCCUGUUCCUGUGCCCAUGACUCCUCAGUUCAUGUUCCUGUGCCUGUGACCCCUCAGUGCCUGUUCCUGUGCCCAUGACUCCUCAGUUCAUGUUCCUGUGCCUGUGACCCCUCCGUGCCUUUUCCUGUCUCUGUGACCCCUCAGUGCCUGUUCCUGUGCCCAUGAGCCCUCAGUUCAUGUUUCUGUACCCGCAGUCCCUCAGUGCCUCUCUCUGUGCCUGUGACCCUUCAUUUCACGUUUCUGUGCCAGUGCCCCCUCAGUGCAUGUUCCCGUGCCAGGCAGGAUGCCCUUGCCCAUCCCUCAGCUGUGGCAGAUGCAGUGGGGUGUCCUGAGCUGUCAAACUGCUCUGGGCAGCUGGACUGUCACUGCAGUGUUGGAAAUGGCCUGGGUGUAUGGCCUCAGUGGGUAAGGAAAACAGAAAAGCAAGCAAAUCCACAAAUCACAUAAUUUGAAAGGCUGUUAGACAUAUGCUAAGAUUUUAUCAUUCACCUGUAUGAAAAUCUUGAAUUGUCUUCUUAGCAUUAUUUACAGACAAAGUUGCUGAUAUAAUUUGUUUGUUAAUUUUCUUAGUAAUUUGGAUGUGGAAAGUUCAAGGAAUUCCAUGUUUGAGAAGAAUGUUGCUAGAAGUGAAAGAACUGCUAAAUGAAAAUCAUAAAGGAUUUCUAUCAUUUUUCAGGACCGCAAUGUUCACAUCUUAGGGACCUUUCCUCUCUAUUUUUUUUCAGAUCCACAUUCUUUCAUGGAAGAGCUUCCACUCAUCAUUGUGUUGGGGUCCAGGUGUGGGUACAAAUGGAAAGGGCUCUAAAUACAUGCAGCUUGAAAGGGAUGUAUUUUACAAGUGGGGUCUAUAGAAAGCCAUGUCUAUAUGAUGUUCAGAUGUUCAGGAGGGUAAAAAUACAUCCCUGUGUUUCAUCCUGGUAUUCUCUGUGAAACAAUGAAAACAUCAAAUGCUGGGAUUUCAUUUAGAAAUAAAUACAAUAUUAGAAAGUAAGAAUAAUAAAGUUAUAUUAAAUAUUUCAUCCUCUACAGAAAUAAACCAGCUACAGUUCAGGGAGCUUCACUAAACACAUUAAAUCUAAUAAAAUUGCCUACACAUACUCCUGACACUAGUAGUAAUUAAAAUAACUUGUUUCAAAAAACUGGUCCUAUACAUGAAUACUUAUUGGCAAUUAUUUCCAAGUUCUUCAAACCAAAGAUAAAGUAAUUUGAUUCACACACAAUGUUCUUGUAAACGUGGUUCAUACUGGGUUUUAUAUGCAGCUUAGGACUGUUAAUUGCCAUUUUGAGCCUCACAGUAAAAUAGAGUUCAAUAUGUCGCUUUUUCUGAAGUAUUGAGAAAUGUUUGAGAAAUGCUUGUCUUAGUCUAAUCAACUGUGAAUAAUUUAUUUCUGAGUCCUACUUUUCAGUAUAAAUGGAUCUGACUUUUCUCAGAGCUUCUCAAGUCUAAUCAACUUGUUACAUUCAUUUAAUUAAGGAAAUCUGUAGCGAACUGUGAAGUCUAAGUACCAACAGGCUUUUUUGUUGUGCAAAAUUGGUGUAUUUUCACUGUGAAUGUGAUUGUGGUUGUUUAUACUGACAGGUAGCCUCUACUAAAGAAGUCAGGGGUUUUUUUCUACACAUAUGGGUCACUAUGAAUAGCACAUAAACUGUUUUCUGAACUGCCUCUUCUGUAGUGGACCCACCACCCAGCUUCCCAAAUUCACACAGCAGUAGUUUUCAGGCAAUUCUCAUUUCUGGAAGGGUUAUGAGUGUUCUUCCAUGCCUCAAAGGGGAGGAAGAUAUAAUGGAGGUAUAACAUACCAGAGUGGGGAUAAUAGACUGCCUUUAGUCACAGUUAGCCUGAAAAAGAUCAUCACACUUGAGGAUUAAAACACUGGCACAGGCUUAUGGUCAGGAUCUGCAAGCCACAGAGUCACCCACAAAGGCAUGAGCUAAGGUGCUGAUUCAAAGUCCUGUCUGUUUCCCAACCCUACAUAAUUUGUUCUCAUUUCUCUGAGAAAUCAGCAUUCUAGGAAGGGAGCAGCUCAUACAAUAAAGGGCUUUGACAUCAUACAUGCAUUUGUUUUAGAAAAGGCCCUAUAUUUAUUUGCUAAUAAAUGUUCAGAAGUCCAUCAUUCCUCUCAUAUUUAUGUGAUAUGAGGAAUAUUUUUUAUUAGAAAUAUAGAGAGAUGCUGUGGAGAUUGACAUAAUAUUUUUUUCUCCUUAUCCUCAGACAACCUCUUCAGACUCAGAAAAAGUUCUCAACCCUGGUCUAAAAUACUGUCCAGUGCUUAUGGGUUAUAAAAUGAAAAUCAUCAAAGCUGUCCUUGACAGGAUGUUUCUUUCCAUUAGUUGAUUAAAAUGGUUUAUUGUUGCCUACAGCAUUGUUACUUUAAAUGUAUUUUUUAACAAAGAGCAGAUGUGGCCGUGUCUUGCACUGUUUCUCUUUCUGUGGUUUCUGAUACAGAAGUGAAUCACUACCUUGGCAGAUCCUCCUGUGGAGAGGGAGAGAGAAAGGUGAGGAGCCCAGCAAUGGGCUGGUGUACCAGCUGGGGGGGGCUGUGCAACAGUACUGCAGAAAGUUGGAGGCAAAACAUGCAAACCUUCAAGCAGCAAGUGUUCAGAGUAGAAGAAAACCCCAAAAUCUGGAAUUAUCUGCCUGUCAUUGCUGUAUGUUUGCUCUGACAAAGCAAGAAGUGGGUUUUGGCAUUUUUUCAGACUGUCAGCUCUAAUGUUUCAGAUAGAACGUGGAAGUGGAGAGUAACUGAUCCUAAGACAUUAAACAAGGUUGUACCCCCAUAAACUCUCUCUACCCACUGCUAUAACAAAGAGAACUGAAAAAGUCCAAGUCUUUGAGAUGUAUGUUAAAUUUCUUUGUUCCUUGUCCCCUCCAUGUUUGAUAGGGGAGCUGAAAUCUCGGUACAAAUCCUGUUUCCAAAUCUAGGGGUCAAUUAUGUAGAAUAGUUAUAGAAAAGGUACCUUUAGCAUAGUUAUAAAAUAGAUUAUAGAAAUAGUUAUAGAAAAGGUACCUUUCCAUUUCCUAGCACAAUUUUUCUAAGGCAUGUUGUCAUCUGAUGAUAAUUGGGUCUUUCACUAGUGAAUCUCAAAUUAUUGGCCAUGUGACCUUAUUUUCAAUAAAUAUUUAUUUGAGAAUCAUAGGUUAAUUAAUUUCCAUUGUUUCUGUUUUAAUUCUAUACAUGCUUAUACUAUACAAUUAGAGAAAAACACAGCCACGAGUAAAUGUUGCUCAUACAAAAUGUUUCUAUUACCCUUUACUUUUAAAACCAUUAAUAGAUUAUUAGGAGAUAUAAACAUUGGAGACCAUGGAUCAUAUUUGCAUGUUAAUCAAGUCCAUGAAUUAUACAUUAUUUGCUAUGGAGAGUACUAGAAACAAUAUUCCUCCUUUCUAAUAUCUAUAAAAGCUGGAGGUUUCCUGGAGCACACAUCACAUGCCCUCUGCAAUACCUUCUAAUAGAAAGAAAGAAAUCCAGCUUUUCAAAGCAAUCUCUCACUAAAUGAAAUAGAUUUGUUUGUGUUGCUUUGCAACACACAAGUGUGACAGUUCAUUUUAAACAAAAUAGUUUUAAUAAUGUCAUUACUAAUAUCUCUUUGGUCAUCUCUCUGAAAAAUUGUGUUUUAAUAGGAAUGUUUCAUUUUAAUAAAUGGCAGAAGAGGCAAGCUGCCCUGAGUCAGCAGGAAGUGGAUAUACACCAGAGAACAGGCUGAUUGUGUUAGAUUCAUCCAGAACACUGAACAGCACACAGACAGUCCAAGAAAAAGCAACUGGCUGUAUUCAAAUGAUUAGUCUUACUGCUAUGCUGUAGCACAGAUUCACACAUUCUUCUAUUAUUCCUUGACCUUCUGCCAAAAACUCCCACUUCAAGUAAUAAUUAGAAUUAGUGUUUCCAGUGCAUGCUUCCAUCUUCCUAACAAACAGUAAUGAAAUGUGGCUUUUACAAAAUAUGUAGUUAAUUAAACUUUUUUUUUGAACAUUGUUUGAUUAAUACAGUUCCCCUGUGCUAGCCCCUCAUUAUGCCUGACUACCUGGGAUUGGUGAAUUGAAAGAAAAGCACUAUCAAUAGGAUGAGUGAGAUAUCAGAAUUUUGCACUUUAAAAUUGAUUGUGCUUUUAAUUUUUAUAUUUUUUUUUGCUUAUGUCUUGGAAUAAACUGAAAGGACAGCCUUUAUUUGUAAUCCUGUUUUUUCAAGUCGAGGACAGUAUGUGUAUUAUAUAACAACUCUACAAAUACUCCCAGUGUGAAUUUGAAGAACACAUAUAUCAAGUGCUACAAGAUAACAAGUGGAUUUCUAGGCAAGCUUUUUGAAAAGGUGUCUCAGCACUGUAUUGCUUAAUAACACUAUGCAAAUAGAUAUUCUGAUUUCAUUUUUAAAAAUAUUAUUUUAUGCUUUUUAACUGUCUGCCUUAAUUAUCCAAAUGCUGAACAAGUAUAGUCUUUUGAUUGAUGAGAGUUCCACCCCUUUACCCACACCCCUGCAGAUAUGAGGCUCCACAGUUUAGUACCAUAAAUCACUGUGAUUGUAAAACUUAACUACUGUAUGAUCAGAGAUCACAUGCAGUGGUAGCCUGAAUAUGCAUUCUUCCUUCGUUAUGAAUGUUUUAGGGCUAAAUUUAGUCUGGAUGUUUGGAGAAAUAUCUGUUUCUUCACUUAAGAAAGUAAUGCAUUUUAAAUAAGCAAUUCUUGCAACAAUUGGAAAUAAUCACAGAAGUCUUCUAUUUGCAAUCUUCAUUAAUGUGAGUUAUUUCACCACUUUAGGAGAAAUCUUUUCAGAGGAAAACAACAAUUAAACCCCUCCCCCCAGGCUCUGACAGCUAAGGAUCUAUGGAUCAGCCAUUUUAGUAAUUAACCACAAUUCCUCUGAUUUGUGAAUUUCCAGAUGAUGAGGCAGGAAGCAAGUUACAUCUUGGAGAAAUUGCCCUCAGGAGAGAGGAAAAACUAUUGCGAGGUUGACAGCACAACCUUGUACCGGCACAGUUUCCCUUCCCCAGCGGUUCAAGGAGUUCCAAGCACCCUCCUGUAAAUCAUCAGCUCACAUCUAUUUAUUAUCUUCCAGCCCAGUGCACAACACUAUCUGUUACACACGGAUACCAGCAAUAUUGCAAGGUGGACUCAAGGGAUAAAAGACAGCAAACCCUGCACACCUCCUAUGCCUGAGUCACACCCACUAUAAAGCCAGGCUCUGUUCAUAAAGUGCAUGCUGUUGUCAGAAAUGAAACAAUAUGAGCUGUUCCAGUUCAGAGUGGAGUUUUUGUAGUGUUUUUCCAAUAUGCUUGAUCUUAUCAUCUUGAUAUCUUUGUGUUCUUAUACAGAGACAAAACUUAUCUGCAUAGUAAUGGACAAAAUGUCUAUGGAAAUAUUGCUAUUCGUUCAAUGAUUGUUGUUAUAUUUGGACUAGGCGCCAGCCUCACUCUGUGAUGCUUG